rnacentral:rRNA from 1 species
UAGUCCACGCCCUAAACGAUGGUCACUAACUGUUCGAAUUUCGGUUUGAGUGGUUAAGCGAAAGUGAUAAGUGACCCACCUGGGGAGUACGUUCGCAAGAAUGAAACUCAAAGGAAUUGACGGGGGCCCGCACAAGCGGUGGAGCAUGUGGUUUAAUUCGAUGGUACGCGAGGAACCUUACCAGGGCUUAAAUGUAAGUUGCAUUAGUUAGAGAUAGCUAUUUCUUCGGACUACUUACAAGGUGCUGCAUGGUUGUCGUCAGCUCGUGCCGUGAGGUGUCAGGUUAAGUCCUAUAACGAGCGCAGCCCCUGUUGUUAGUUGCCAGCGAUUAAAGUCGGGAACUCUAACAAGACUGCCAGUGCAAACUGUGAGGAAGGUGGGGAUGACGUCAAAUCAUCACGGCCCUUACGUCCUGGGCUACACACGUGCUACAAUGGUAGGGACAGAGAGCAGCCACACCGCGAGGUGGAGCGAAUCUAUAAACCCUAUCUCAGUUCGGAUCGGAGUCUGC